GAUGAACGCUAGCGGCAGGCAUAAUACAUGCAAGUUGAACGGGAUUCAGAUAGCAAUAUUUGAUGAGAGUGGCGCACGGGUGCGUAACACGUAUGCAACUUACCUUAAACUGGGAGAUAGCCCGUGGAAACAUGGAUUAAUAUCCCAUAGUAUAAAGAACAGGCAUUUGUUUUUUAUUAAAGCUCCGGCGGUCUAAGAUGGGCAUGCGCGUCAUUAGCUAGAUGGAGAGGUAACGGCUCACCAUGGCAACGAUGACUAGGGGGUCUGAGAGGAUGUCCCCACACACUGGUACUGAGACACGGACCAGACUCCUACGGGAGGCAGCAGUAGGGAAUAUUGGGCAAUGGACGCAAGUCUGACCCAGCCAUGCCGCGUGCAGGAAGACGGCCCUCUGGGUUGUAAACUGCUUUUAUCAGGGAAGAAACCCUUCUACGUGUAGGAGGCUGACGGUACCUGAGGAAUAAGGAUCGGCUAACUCCGUGCC
rnacentral:rRNA from 1 species